GAAAUUAGCACGAAAUAUUCGCCUGGUGUGCUACGAAAAAAAAAAGAAGAAAAAAGUUGUCGAGCGCUGUAGUGGGCGUAGAAUCACACGUAUAUAAGCCCUGCUUUUCUUGUCGGCACGCACGGUACACUCUGCGCAAGAGGCCCCGAACAAGAUGCGGUACCUCGCUUUCGUCCUGGUGUUAUUAACCGCUGCGAUCUAUGUUUGUGCUGAGGGAAAGGCUUCGAUAAUUCCGUGUGAGACGGCACGCUGCCCACCUGGCUUUAAAUGCCUGCGCAUUCGCUGCUUCACGUAUCCUUGCCCUCCGAGCCGCUGUGUGAAAGAGGAGUCGACUGGCGUUCGGAUAAACCAGGGAGCCAACUGAAUUGAUGGCGCAAUAAAGAUACACUAAUUGGAAAAUCUUCA